UGAUCAGUUGGCAGAAAUCGUGAAGCUUGUAAGGCUUAUUGGAGUUUGUUGUUGCUACAUUUGUCACGCGCUGCAGCGCCACUCUGCACAUCGGCGCCUUUAAAUCUAGGCUUCGCGUUGCGGCCACAAUGGCGCUGUAAAGUCUGCAGCAGGUAGCUGGUUCCGCCCUACAAGGAAAAUUGCGUCUCUGCCGGAGUGCUACACGUGUGUCUUCAUGGGCGCCGCUGCCUUAUGAUUAGCCGGGAAAGGAACAGUCCGUACAUGAGUCACCGACGGCCGUUGCUCGACACAAGCUCAGUGCUCUCCCUCUCCGGCCUUCUCUUCCUCCAGUGCAUCCUGCCUUCUAUCCGGUGGACAACGUUACAUCAUGUCGCUUUCUACAUUCUGUAUUCUCUCGCAUUUUCCUUUUGAGCGUUAGAAUAUUAAUUUACACAUAUCAUU